GUAACAAGGAAACAUGUUUCUUAUUCCUGUAACAGAAGGGGAAAGAUGGGCAGACCUGGCAGCGGCUCCGGAAGAGCAGAAGAAAGCGGAAGGGCCCUUCACCAGCAAGCGCCACUCUCCCCCCAGCAAUGAAAAUAACACGCAGUGACCAGGGGGUAGAAUCCAUCACUCUCUUCACGCAGUGUUAGCUGCUACCAAUCACACAUUUAUCUCUUUCUGGUGCUCUCCGAGCUUGGAUAGAUGAACUUGCAUCCAGUGUUGUCUUAGAACCAAGACUUUCCACUGACCAUGUCACAUCUCCGGGCUUCAGAGUGGCCGAACCGGGCCAGCGAGAUCCUCUAGAUGAGACUCGGGAGUAUCCACCUGGAGGUGGAAGGGCAGCCAAAGCUCCGGCCCGGAGAAGGCUUGGAAUCCACUGACUUUCUUGUUCACUCGUAACCAGGGGGCCUGGAGAGGUUCCAGCGUCGCGCAUUCAUAGCCUGCAGCGAACUCCUGUGUGUUGGCUCAGCAGACGUGUCCUGGGAGCGCUCCACGUGCAGGUGCUGUUCUCGGACUGGAGGAGGCGAACAGAUCCCUGAAGUUUAAAGGGAAGAGGAAAGGGACAUAAAGAACGGUUUGCAUUGAGCCAUUCUUCAAGAUAGUGGACGAAAAACACCCUGGACCCACGCUCACCAGGCUUGGCAAAGGGUGAAGAAACCAGGAGAACGGAGAGAAAUUCCACAGGUGGAUGGCAAGAUGCCACAGUCCUCCCCCGACUGGCGCCUGGCAUCCCCUGCAGCUGGGACACGGGGACUCUUCUCUGGAGAAACCCGACAGCCUCAGGGAAAAUGCCGAGACGAGGGGCCCAGAGGCCCCCAGCUCCCUGGCUGAUUCGUCUUCAAGUCCUGCCCACUGAGAGGCGGCUCCCAGAGAUUGGUUAGUGUCUUAUUCUCAGUUAUGAAUUAACAGCCAACAAUCGCCAGCAGUAAGUCAUAAACUCAAUGAUUAAAGAAGGAAAAAGAAACAAAAUAGGAAAAAAAUGAACUCAGUUGGAAAAUGAUAAUAAAGAUAUUAGAAUGAAACAAAAAAACACACUAUGCUUAAAACCCUUGGAGAGGACUUCCCUGGUGGCUCAGUGGUUGAGAGUCUGCCUGCUGAUGCAGGGGACACGGGUUCGAGCCCUGGUCUGGGAGGAUCCCACAUGCCGCGGAGCAACUAGGCCCGUGCACCACAGCUACUGAGCCUGCGCUCUAGAGCCUGUGCUCCGCAACAAGAGAGGCCGCGACAGUGAGAGGCCCACGCACCGCGAUGAAGAGUGGCCCCUGCUUGCCACAACUGGAGAAAGCCCUCGCACAGAAACGGAGACCCAACACAGCCAUAAAUAAAUAUAAAAAUAAAUAAAAAAAAAAAAACCAACCAAACAAAAAACCCUUGGAGUAAUAAGAGAUGACAUUUUAUUCAAGAAAAAAAUAUCGCAAGGCACAAAGAAGGAGAAAGAAAGAGCUCUGUACAAUAGAAUAUGUGAGAAUUGAAAUUAAAACCUUGGCUGAAGAUUUGGAAGAUAGAGUAGAGAAGACCUACCAGGAGAAAUGAUAAUAAAAGGGUAAAAAAUGAAAAACGAAAGAGGAAAAAUUAGAAAAUAAAAAGAAUAGUGUUUGUGUUCCAACGUAUUUAAAAGAAUUUCAUUAAGAGAGAAAGAGUGGGAGAGAGAAAAAGAUUUUUUUUUUUAAAUGCAACUUUUUUUUUUUUUUUUCCAAAACUGAAGAACAUUAGCUUCUGGUUUAAAGGCCUCUCCUCCCACUAACCUGAUUCCCCACGACAAAGAGCAAUAAAGCAAAGAGUCCAAAUAUACAGCAAGAUUAAAAUAGCUGCUUACAGCAAGUGCAGAAGAUCAGCUUGCUCUGAUGCUUCUGAAGAUUGCUCUGGAAUUGAGAAAGACAGUGGAGAUGUAGCUACUAAAUGUCAAAGGAAAAUAGUUCUACCCAGUGAUGGCAGAGAAAAUGAAACCACAGAAAUGCAUCUCGGGGGGCUCUGAGGAGCUCUGGUUCUUUUUUUUUUAAUUUAUUGUUAUUUUUUAAUCUUUUUAUACAGCAGGUUCUUAUUAGUUAUCCAUUUUAACAGCUGAUGAGAGUAGACUUGAUCCAGGAAUCAAAGAAGAAGUCAUUUCCUGGUAGAGAAACUUCCAGACCUUUCAGAAGGGAGUCAAAGAAAAUGCAGCGAGAAGUAAGGCCUGGGCCAUUUUACGUCAUGAUACGGGAGAAUAGAUAUCUCCACAGUCUUUAAGAAAUACACGGCCAGGGCCAUUGGGUCCUGGAAACACUGUGUGUUUUUCAGGUUGGAACAGCCGUGGAUGGUGAAUCGUCCUUGCCUCUGAGAAAUGAAUCUCUCAAGCUGAGUCUAUGCGGUAUUAAGUGAAAGGAUUAUUUGGAAAUUGUCCAGUUUGGAGUGAAGAAAGAGAUCAUACCUGGAUAAUGGAAGUCUCAAGGUGAACAUCUGGAGUCUGACAGUUUCCACAGUUGAAGUCAAGCCAACAGAUUUCAUGUCAGCCCAGAAACCUCUGUGCUUAGAAGUGGACUUGGCUGUCUCUCAGUGUUUAACAUGUGUUCAGUUCCCCUUAAGCUGUCCCAGCCCUCGGAGCAGCCAGAUGUUUCAGAAUCUUGUAGAGAAAACCCAGCGAGUAACAGAUCUUCCAGAGGCGGGAAUCCUGCCGGGUCAGGGCUGACCCUGCACUUGGGGAGCCCAGGACAGUCCCCAGGAGGGGCAAGCGCCCCCUGCUGUGGGCCUGUCUCCUUACUGGGGUGCCCUUGACCUUGGUGGUCUGUCCCGUCCCCUCCCACCGCCACUCCCACCAGCAGGAGGCCUAUUUAGCAGGUCUCAACGUUUUAUCUGCCUUCGCUGUUUUCUAGCCCUAAUUUAAGAAUUGAAGCUUGCCCCUGUCCGUUAGCAUUUUUGGGUUCUGUUUUCCUAAAAUGCUUCUCCAGAUGGCUGAUCCAUCAAUCCUAUUUGAUGAUUAGGUUUCCGCUGUUUUCCUGCUGCUUCAUCUUCUUUCCUCUGGAAGAGCUCGAUCUCGUUACCUCUCACCCAUGGAGUUCACUGUCCGUCCUUCGGGAAAACGGUACCAUCAGUGUCUUUGUGGCUUUGGAUGCUCACAGCUCGAGAUGGGGAUGGAAAUCCAGCCCACUCGGUGUCGUGAGCACGGUCCCCUUCCCCAUGGCUGGCAUCCUGGCUGUGACUCAUCCCCACCCGUUAUCCUAAACCCACCCACCCUUUUCUUCCUGCUGUCUCCUGUCUGGAUAUGAAUCCCCAUAGCCUCCAGGCUGGUCUCCACACUCAGAUUCCACCCACCCCAGGACAUUUGCUGCAAUGCUAGCGGGAAAAACGAGCUUUCUAAAACUCAUCCUGAGCAUGUGAUUCUUCUGCCUAAAAUUCUUCAAUGGCUUGCAACCGGGCAAAUUCUAAAAUCCUUCUCAUGACAUCUGAAACCUUUGAGAACUGAAUUUCUGCCCGUGUGUCAGUUCCACACUAGAGCUGGCGGCCCCUGGGGACCUUCCUGCAGGGCCUGUGGGGUCUUCCUGCUUGGGGACCCCGGCCCUGUCACUGGGAGGCCUCCCAUGACACCCCUGCUCUGUCCCUUUAGAGAACCUAACGUGAGAUUUUUUUGCAUCAUGUACUGUAGUGGAUUAUUGUUUACUUGUCUGAAUUUCCUGUUAGAGUCUAGACACGGAGCCCUAUGGGAAUGGACCAUCUCUCUUUAUAUUGGAUUUGUUUUUGCCUGUUUAACACAUAGUAAAUUCUCAAAACUUCUAGUGGAUUAAUAAUACAUUUGUGGGGGCUU